AAUAUUUUUCCCACCAAAGGCCCAAUCCUGCUUAGCUUCUGAGAUCAGAUGAGAUCAGGCAUGUUCAGAGUGGUAUGGCUAUAGACU